rnacentral:rRNA from 1 species
UAACAACUUUCAGCAGUGGAUGUCUAGGCUCGCACCUCGAUGAAGAACGCUGCGAACUGCGAUACGUAAUGCGAAUUGCAGGAUUCAGUGAGUCAUCGAAAUUUUGAACGCAUAUUGCACUUCCGGGUUAGUCCUGGAAGUAUGCCUGUAUCAGUGUCAGUAC